rnacentral:tRNA from 1 species
GUCAGUGUAGCUUAGUGGCAAGAGCAUGGUCUUGGGAGUCAGAGGACGUGGGUUCUAAUCCCAGCUUUGCCA